ACGGGGGGAGCAAGCGUUGUUCGGAUUUACUGGGCGUAAAGGGCGCGUAGGCGGCCUCUGCAAGUCGACUGUGAAAUCUCCGGGCUUAACCCGGAAAGGUCAGCCGAUACUGCAGGGCUAGAGUGCAGAAGGGGCAACUGGAAUUCUCGGUGUAGCGGUGAAAUGCGUAGAUAUCGAGAGGAACACCUGCGGCGAAGGCGGGUUGCUGGGCUGACACUGACGCUCAUGCACGAAAGCGUGGGGAGCAAACAGGA
rnacentral:rRNA from 1 species